UGCACCAAACCAGGCUGACCUGCUCCAGGUUGGGCCAAACCAUACUGACUCACUGCAGGUUGCACCAAACCAGGCUGAGCUGAACCAGGUUGGACCAAACCAGGCUGAGCUGCUCCUGGUUGCAUCAAACCAGGCUGGGCUGCUCCUGGUUGGACCAAACCAGGCUGACCUGCUCCAGGUUGGACCAAACCAGGCUGAGCUGCUCCUGGUUGCACCAAACCAACCUGAGCUGCUCCUGGUUGCACCAACCCAGGCUGAACUAUGCCAGGUUGCACUAAACCACG